rnacentral:lncRNA from 1 species
GCUCUUUGAAUCAUGCAUGAAGAGCGGAUUGUACGACUCAGCCAAACCUCUCCUUGAAACAUACGUGAACUCUGCUGCCAAGGUUGACCUCAUUCUUUACACUUCAAUUCUUGCCCAUUUAGUAAGAUGUCAAGAUGAAAACGAUGAAAGGCAUUUAAUGUUGAUCUUGAGUGCUACGAAACAUAAGGCUCACACUUUCAUGUGUGGGCUCAGAUGAAAACGAUGAGAGGCAUUUAAUGUCGAUCUUGAGUGCUACGAAACAUAAGGCUCACACUUUCAUGUGUGGGCUCUUUACUGGGCCAGAGCAGAGGAAACAGCCAGUUUUAUCUUUUGUGAGGGAAUUCUUCCA